rnacentral:rRNA from 1 species
GACGAACGCUGGCGGCGUGCUUAACACAUGCAAGUCGAACGGAAAGGCCCUGCUUUUGUGGGGUGCUCGAGUGGCGAACGGGUGAGUAACACGUGAGUAACCUGCCCUUGACUUUGGGAUAACUUCAGGAAACUGGGGCUAAUACCGGAUAGGAGCUCCUGCUGCAUGGUGGGGGUUGGAAAGUUUCGGCGGUUGGGGAUGGACUCGCGGCUUAUCAGCUUGUUGGUGGGGUAGUGGCUUACCAAGGCUUUGACGGGUAGCCGGCCUGAGAGGGUGACCGGCCACAUUGGGACUGAGAUACGGCCCAGACUCCUACGGGAGGCAGCAGUGGGGAAUAUUGCACAAUGGGCGAAAGCCUGAUGCAGCAACGCCGCGUGCGGGAUGACGGCCUUCGGGUUGUAAACCGCUUUCGCCUGUGACGAAGCGUGAGUGACGGUAAUGGGUAAAGAAGCACCGGCUAACUACGUGCCAGCAGCCGCGGUGAUACGUAGGGUGCGAGCGUUGUCCGGAUUUAUUGGGCGUAAAGGGCUCGUAGGUGGUUGAUCGCGUCGGAAGUGUAAUCUUGGGGCUUAACCCUGAGCGUGCUUUCGAUACGGGUUGACUUGAGGAAGGUAGGGGAGAAUGGAAUUCCUGGUGGAGCGGUGGAAUGCGCAGAUAUCAGGAGGAACACCAGUGGCGAAGGCGGUUCUCUGGGCCUUUCCUGACGCUGAGGAGCGAAAGCGUGGGGAGCGAACAGGCUUAGAUACCCUGGUAGUCCACGCUGUAAACGGUGGGUACUAGGUGUGGGGUCCAUUCCACGGGUUCCGUGCCGUAGCUAACGCUUUAAGUACCCCGCCUGGGGAGUACGGCCGCAAGGCUAAAACUCAAAGGAAUUGACGGGGCCCCGCACAAGCGGCGGAGCAUGCGGAUUAAUUCGAUGCAACGCGUAGAGCCUUACCUGGGUUUGACAUGGAUCGGGAGUGCUCAGAGAUGGGUGUGCCUCUUUUGGGGUCGGUUCACAGGUGGUGCAUGGCUGUCGUCAGCUCGUGUCGUGAGAUGUUGGGUUAAGUCCCGCAACGAGCGCAACCCUUGUUCACUGUUGCCAGCACGUUAUGGUGGGGACUCAGUGGAGACCGCCGGGGUCAACUCGGAGGAAGGUGGGGAUGACGUCAAGUCAUCAUGCCCCUUAUGUCCAGGGCUUCACGCAUGCUACAAUGGCUGGUACAGAGAGUGGCGAGCCUGUGAGGGUGAGCGAAUCUCGGAAAGCCGGUCUCAGUUCGGAUUGGGGUCUGCAACUCGACCUCAUGAAGUCGGAGUCGCUAGUAAUCGCAGAUCAGCAACGCUGCGGUGAAUACGUUCCCGGGGCU